rnacentral:tRNA from 2 species
GGGGCUAUAGCUCAGUUGGGAGAGCGCUACACUGGCAGUGUAGAGGUCAGGGGUUCGAACCCCCUUAGCUCCACCA